ensembl:lncRNA
AGAGAAUUAGAGAGCAAACGCAGCGACCGUGUUAAUACAGAGCCUGCGCGCGCGAGCGGGCGUUGACGUCCGUCCAAGGAGGACCUCGCCGGUCCUGCACGCCCCGGAGCGCUGUCCGCCCGACGGGCUGCGCUUUACCGAGGCGAGCGGGCAGCAUCCGAGCGCUCCAGCGAGCAACGCGGCAGAGGAGAACCGGGAAAAACAGCCCAGGGUUCCCGGCUCCCCGGCGCUAAGGUCCGCGGAGUUUCGCCGCGGGAAACCGGGACGCCGCCGAGCGGCGCCCGAUGGAGAAGAGGCGCCAGGGCCGAGCGGGAGCGACGUUCGCAGCCACGCGGUCGCGACGUGACGGCGGUUUAGGGCGAACAGCAGAGCGGCCCACGUCCGACCCACGGCACAGCGCGGUAAUUGUAGUCAGAUGACCUAAAUUCCCAAGCCGGACGCGCAGCCUGGAUACCAAUUAAACGCCCAAGAAUGACGGCGUCCGAGCGCGGCCGCGGCCCGGGCUUUAAAUCUCUGCUCCGGCGUGCACGGAGGGAACAACCUCCAAGUUGGCUCGGAGGAGAAAACCAAUAAUAAUAAUAAUAAUAAUAAUAAUAAAAAAACGCUGACGUUCGCCGGCGCGGUGGAAACGCGGGCUCGAUCCCAGCUCUUUCCCCAGGUUGGGGCUUGCAGCCGGCUAUCUCCGCGCCACAGGCCGCCCGCGCAGCGAUAGCAUCGCGCCCGCCGCGCUAUCCCGCCACCCCAGCAUCCCCAGCAAACCCAGGCUCCGUCUGGAAAAAGCAAGUGGAGGCUUUAAACGAACCCCAGGCAGCUCGGCGGGGCGAGCCGGGAGCCCCCUCCAAGCUUUCGGGRGUUYCUCCUCCUCCUCCUCUUGCUCCCAAAGCAGGGAAGAGCCACGGCGCUGCUCGUUCCCUGCUCGUUCCCGCUCAUGGCCGGGAUCCGGAGGCGGCCCUGCUCCCUUCUCGUGUUUCAAACCCCGCCAGCAGGAAUUCCUCCUCCUCCUCCUCUUCCUCCCAAAGCAGGGAAGAGCCACGGCGCUGCUCGUUCCCUGCUCGUUCCCGCUCAUGGCCGGGAUCCGGAGGCGGCCCUGCUCCCUUCUCGUGUUUCAAACCCCGCCAGCAGGAAUUCCUCCUCCUCCUCCUCUUCCUCCCUUGCCCUGCCCUUAACUCCUCGCGGGCUCCCGCUCCGGAGCCGGGCCGAGGAGGCCCUUCGGCYUCGGGAGCGCCGCCAGGCUCCCAGACACGGACCUUCACCCCGCGGCUGCCCCGUCCCGGAGCAAAUCCCUGGGGAAGGCUCCGGGAUCCAGGCUGCCGGGGUGGGAUUGAGCUCACCGCUCGCCCGCAGCCCUUUCCGGGGUCUCCCGUCGCCACCAGCAUCACGGUUGAGGAGGUCCCAGCACCCGCGGCUCCGGCCCGCUCGGCCGGGAAGCUCGCGGAGGUAGGAGUCCCUCCGCCUUCCGGGGUGCAAACGGCAAGAAUCGGGCUAAAAACCGCCCGUUUUCCCAAUGCCUGCGGCGCGCCGCCUUCCGUCCCCACGCACGAGGCAGGCGAAGGAGGGCGAGCACCCGCUGCCCCCCCAUCCGUCCGUCCGUCCGUCCGUCCGUGCUGCCCCGCGCGUCACCGGCCCCAAAACCAGAAACAGCCGCACUGCCUCCCCACCCUUCCCGAGCGAGGCUGGGACACGGGGUCCGGAUCGCGGAUCGCGGGCCGGCCCCCUCCGGCACGGACGCACCCGCUGCAGGAGAUACGGGGGGGUUUUUUGUUGUUUUUCCCCCUCCUUUUGGACUUCCUUGCUGGGAGGGGGGGGGCAAAAAAGCACCACGAGCAGCGAGAGCUGACGGCGAGGGAGAAGCUACCCGCGGCGAAGACACUGCAGCGAGGGGGGGGGCUGGGAAAGGCCAGCGCUCGGCGGCCGCGGGGAGGAAAACAAACUUCCCAGGGAAGCGGCCAGGGAUGGAGGAGGCGGAGGGGGGGGGGAAAAACGACGGCGGCGGCAGCCGAGCUCGGGCGCGCGGCGCUGCCCUUGGCCGCCCGCGCCGGGGAAGCGCGGCGGCGUUGCGCAAGCGGGCGCCUUUGGACCCCGAGCUCCCCGCCGCGCGGAGAAAGGGGGGUAAAAAAAUUAAUAAUAAUAAUAAUAAUAAUAAUUAAUAUUAAUAAAAGCAACACACGCAACGGCUGCGGGAGGCCGGCGGAGGCGCGCGGGAAGCCCGAACCCC